GGGCUCGUAGCGCAGCAUGGAUAUGAAGACCGGAAAGCGCGGCAGACUCUCGAGCUGUAGGUCCGGGGUUCAAGUCCCCGCGAGCCCGCCA
rnacentral:tRNA from 1 species